UGAAAAGCUGCUCUCUGCCCUGAAACUGCUGCACUUUGUCCCGAAUGCUGAGGCCAAAACAGCUCUUGUCAUCUUUCACCCCUGAUACAGCGCGUCCCCGAGUCUGGCCUCUGGUGUCCUUUCUGAUGCACCAGAAUUGUUCCCUUUUGGACUGGCCACCAUCAUCCAUUGUUCUCCAUGAAACAGAAACUGCCAUUGCCCUCGGGGGAGAUGGUGGCUGCCUAUACUGUGAGGCAUCAUAAAACACAGACCCCGUUGGGAACAAUGGGGAAAAGCCUUCUCAACGUGGCCACCAGCUGAGGCCCGCCACCGCUCUCAGCCCGUCCGGAGCACGGGGGAGCGGCAGCCACGUUGAGGGGAGGCGGUGGUCCACCGAGCAGCCUCUGGGCCCUGCCUGAGGGGAAAACAAGAUUACAUGCAACAGGAAAACUACCCAAACAAAACCAGCUUAAUUACAAGAAGGAAGUGAAGUAAAGUCUUCGUGCAAGGUUACAGUGAGUUCCACUUAUGUGGGAGCUAGCAGAGCUUUUAGCCAGUUUUGUAGGGGAGGUUGAAGUCCUUUUUGCUGCUCUCUCCCGUUGAUGCCUUGACUUCCCCUUAAAUACUAAGAGACCCAAAUCCUUAUUUGACAGCUUUAACAGGAAGCAAUUUUUGUCACAGAAUAAUAAGCGUUUCGUCUAUGAAGAUGUGAUAUUUUUCCACCCUCUGUUUUCACUGGGCAGCCUCCUACCUCAUACACUCUUGAGUCGCUGGAGUCUGUGUUCUUUUUACCAAGAUAGGAGACAAAAAGAGAUCUAAUAAUGGGUGGUCCAUUUUUAUAAAUGCCUGAUUUUUAAUCUCUAAGCAAAUUAAUAUAUUCAAAUACAUCUUUGAAAUUACCAAAAAAUUUGUUUUGUAAUCCAACCACACAUAUUGUACUGUUAAGGAGAGUACACUGUGUUUUUCAUACAGACUAAAGAAUAAUCAGUAAAGCAUGCCUGAGUUUGAA